rnacentral:rRNA from 1 species
UAAUACAGAGGGUGCGAGCGUUGUCCGGAAUCACUGGGCGUAAAGGGCGCGUAGGCGGCUGGGUAAGCGUGUGGUGAAAGCCCGGGGCUCAACCCCGGGUCGGCCAUGCGAACUGUCCAGCUGGAGCACGGUAGAGGCACAUGGAAUUCCGGGUGUAGCGGUGGAAUGCGUAGAGAUCCGGAAGAACACCGGUGGCGAAGGCGGUGUGCUGGGCCGUAGCUGACGCUGAGGCGCGACAGCGUGGGGAGCAAACAGG